UACGUAGGGUGCAAGCGUUGUCCGGAAUUAUUGGGCGUAAAGAGCUCGUAGGCGGCUUGUCACGUCGACUGUGAAAACCCGGGGCUCAACUCCGGGCCUGCAGUCGAUACGGGCUGGCUUGAGUGCGGUAGGGGAGACUGGAAUUCCUGGUGUAGCGGUGAAAUGCGCAGAUAUCAGGAGGAACACCGGUGGCGAAGGCGGGUCUCUGGGAAAUAACUGACGCUGAGGAGCGAAAGCGUGGGGAGCGAACAGG
rnacentral:rRNA from 1 species